GCCAAAUGAUGAUCUCUAGAUAUGGUGAGCACUCUGUGCGAAGAUGACCAUAUAUCUAUCACCCAUGACUGAUGGCA